CCCUUUAUUGCAUGAGCAACGAUAUCCUUGACCAAUCUCAGGGUAGGUGCAAUUUGCAUUAGCGCCACAAGCAUAUGCACUUUGAUUAGCUUUGGCCUGUUCGCACGUCUUAUUUUCAACUACCCAUUCAAUCACAACAUCUGCUGUAUAUGCAUCUUUUCCAUAUUUUGGCUUGAGAGAGAGCGGCCAAUCUGAAAUCUGGAAGGAGUUCUUGUCCACUAAAAAUGCGAAUCCACAGAGAUUGAAGUCCGAAACGUCCGUGUACUCGUUUAAAGUUGACAAUGAAUAUUUAAGUGAUUUGAGGCCCUUGGGGAUUGAGGUUUGGCAGCAUCCAGAACCUGAGCAAGGAUUUCCAUCGGACAUGCUCACAUUUUCUGUGCACAAGGAGAGACAGGCAGCUCCGUAUGUGGACUCAUAGUUGGUCAUCCAGGCAUAUGUAUCGCAACCAAUUACUGUGAAUGCAUUUCGGGUGUCUGACAACGUGAAGGGGCAACGUGAUGUAUCUACAUAGUGCUAACUGCUAAGGUAAUUAUCACAAAGGUAAUUAUAAUUUCGCACUGGUUUGCAAACUAGAAAUGCAAAAACUGGGCAGGAGAAAAAAAGGGCGUACCUGGGGCUUUUGCUUGAAGAUGAAGAUGAUGGUGAUGGAGAGCUUGAGGUUGCUGGUCGAACAUACUUUUUCUCCUUUGCUUUUUUUCUUGUUUUUAUUUUCUUUGGUUGUCUGUUUGUUGUUUGUUCCUGUGCGCCUCUGUUCCCCGUCUGUGUUAUGCUUUUCUGUUUGUGUUAUCCUUCUCCUCUGAUAGCGUCCCUGUUCUAUAUUCCCUGGUCCUGUGUUUCUGGUGUCCUGGGUUUUUUCCUUCGUUUUCUGCCUGUGUUGUUCUCCUGUACUGGGUCUUUUUUUUGUGUUUCCUCCUUUUUUCUCUCUUUUUCUGGUCUUCUCUGUUUUUCUUUGCAGGUUUAUAACAUCCAUAAUAUUGGGAAUGCAUCAUUUUAAAGAUUUAUCAAACAUGUAUUUUUAAAAUGAAGUUAAUACAAAUUGUACUUCCUUUUCUUUGCUUACUUUUUACCCAUUAAAUUUUACUUUCCAAGGUUUUAGUGAGGCAAUUUGGUAUUUUUAUGAAUCCUAAAGUAUUCAAAUAUGAUUUUUAAAGUAUCUAUAUUAAACUUUUUAUUGAAUUCUAAAGCAUUCGGAAAUCAAACAAAAAUUUAUACUCUUUUUUAUUCACUUAGGUUUUUUUUCUCAUUGGGUUUUUUUUCCAAGAUUUUAAUGAGAUAAUUUUUUAAUACAUUGAAAUCAACGACUUUGUCAUUCUUGAGUUAUAAAAUCUAUAUUUAUAUACAUUGAAUAUUCGUUAGAAUCUCUUAGACUCCGUCACUCUUUAAUUUAGUUUCUUGAUUUUCUAUGACAUAUUAAUACUUGCAUUUUCUAGUAUCUUUUAAUGUUUUCAUUUCUUUUCCUAUAAAUAGACUACUUAAUUUAUAUUCUAAAGAUUGAAAAUUAUAUAUAAGAAAAUGUAUGGAUUUCUCUUUCAAUUUUUAUUCUAAAUAUUCUUGUUUUUAUUUGUUUUUUUAUAUUUUUAACAAAGUCAAAAUUAAAACCAAUCAGAUUAGUUUUUUUAUUCUAUUCUAAUAAAACAAAAGUAAAAGAAAAGCUUACUUAUAUAAGAUGUAGCAAUUGUUUUAAAACCCGACUUGACUUUAAGGGAGAAUUAACUUAAUAAAAAAUCUAGAUUGACCCAAGAUUCAAUCAAAAUAUGUUAAUUUUUUUUAAAAUUUUGUUUAAAUGAUAUUUUUACUUUUUUCUAAAAUUAAAAAAUUAAGUUAACCCAAAUUAAUUUUACCUGAACCGAAACUUGCCCUUGAUCAACAGGUUGAGUUUAAAAAUUAUGUUUAUAGGUGCUCAUGCAAUGGCUAGAAAAUGAUGGGAAUCUUGUUUUGAUAAGACUUCGUAUGCUAUGAAAAUUUGAGCUAGCUGUGGAGCUUUCUCUAUCUGGGAAUGUAGGUAAACAUCAUUGAAUCUGGUUUGAUUAGGAAAUCGAAGGUACUUAUCAAUUUCUCAAAACAAUUUCUUUUUGAGAAUGUAUAUUAACUAGUCCAGUAAACACACAAUUUUUAUUUCAACAUAGGUGACAAUUUUUAUUAACCAAGUGAGUGAAUGAGAGAAAAACGAGGGGAUUAUUUAUUGGUGAUGUUUACUAUUAUCACUUUAUUCUUGGUGGAGCAUUUUCAAAAUAGAAGUUUUCAAGUCUGAAAAUAAAGUGUGGAAUUAAAGGUGUGGUGAGUGUUGUACUACUAAUUCAAUAUUGAAGAUUUAUAAAGAAAGAAGUGAAUUGACAAUUCAGGUAAGGCCAAGUUCAAGAAAUAAUUUUUAUUUUUUUUAUUUAUCAUAGAAGAAAUGUUAGUCCUUGUAGACACGUACAAGAAUUUUUAAGCUUAGGAUGAUAUUUUUGGCAUUUCGGUUUCUCAAUCUGAAUUUAAAUAAUAAAAUAUUCAAAUUUUUUUGUUAACAGAUUUUCUUUAGACUUGUCUUUUUGGGAUUUUUUUAUUGCUAACUCUGUUUACAAGUACCAAUAAAAAUAUGUUGAAUAUUAAAUAAUAAAAUAUUCAAAUUUUUUUGUUAACAGAUUUUCUUUAGACUUGUCUUUUUGGGAUUUUUUUAUUGCUAACUCUGUUUACAAGUACCAAUAAAAAUAUGUUGAUUAUAUGCCUCCAUGAUAGGAAUUGAUAUUUGUGUUUUGGUAGGACUAUAAUACCAACAUUUCAACUUUCCUUUUCUUCUUUGUAGGCUAACUUUCAACUCCAGAGAAAGAAGAAGAACAAUGCAUGCACUACAAGAUUUAACAGUUUUACCGACAGAAUUUUUCCGUAUAAUUCUGCAAUCUUUGCCGUAUAAUUGUUGUCUGAAAGCAUGCUCACCGACUUUGACAUCUCCAUGAACAAUAGGAGGGUCUGCUAGAGAAAGCAGAUAAUCAAGCGCAAGGUCUCCGAUGCUAUCCUUAGACGAUUGCCCUAGGAGAAGCUAGUAAAUGCAACUUUUUGUCAUGGAUGUUCUUGAAUAGAUAAUUUCCAUUUGAAAUGAACUCAUAAACUAGUAAUGGCAUUUUAGUCUCGGAACACAGGCCAAAGAGCUUGACCACAUUCUUGUGAUUGACCAGCAAAACAAGGCUACUUUCCUUUUGAAAUUCCUCGUUCAUCUAAGCCUUCUCUGCCCCUUUAAACUUAUUGACUGCAACCAAGGUCUUAUCUGCUAAAACUCCCUUGAAAACAGAACCAAAACCACCUUCCCAAGUUUCUGAUCAUCAACAUAACUGUUGGUUUCUAUUGCCUCACCGAAAAUCCUUGAUCGCUGAUGCUCUAAGCCAUUCCCUCGUUCUCUCUGAAGUUUUUCUCCUCACUUUUUUUCUUUUCCAGCACAUCAUGUAGAACUGUAGACAAAUAAUCACAAGGAAAAUUGUUGCUCCAGUAGCUGCAAAAAAAAACGUCAACGAAAGAUGUGUGUAACUUACAAAACGAACCAAUGGAAAGGAUACAUUUACUAACUUUUGAUAAGUGAUGAAAAGUAGUGAUAGGCCAUUAAUGUUACUUACAAGCCCAGCACCAAUAAUGGGCUCAAUUUGAUAGUAGACCUAUGGACUCAGAGAAGGCCUUUAGGUCCAUGAUGGUGGUUAUGUAGCCCAAAGGAGCAAAAUGUACAAUUAUUACUUGUGACUCAGAGCUUAGGUCAUAAGGAAUUCCUUUUAUUCCUUUUAUUCUAAUAAAAAAAAAGGUAAAGGUAAAGCUUAAUUUUAUAAGAUGCAGCAACUAUUUUAAAACGACGGUUAACCUAUUAUUCUUGUGACUCAGAGCUUAGAUAAAAAAUAAUUUCAAAACAGUUGGGAGAAUCAGGAUUUUUGUAUAUAUUGGUUUCGCCAGGAGGCAUCAACACCGAAGCUCCAAAAUCUGCUACUUUUGCUGUGUAAUUAUUGUCUAGAAGUAUGUUUACUGACUUGACAUCUCCAUGAAUAACUGGAGGGUUUGCCAGAGAGUGCAAAUAAUCAAGCGCAAGCGCAGCCUCCGAUGCUACCCUCAAACGAUUGGUCCAGGAAGCCAGUAUCCGGGAACCUUUGUCGUGGAUGUGCUUGGAAAGAGUUCCAUUUGAGAUGAACUCAUAGACCUGUAAUGGAACUUUGGUUAAACAAUAUCUUAAUUAAUUAAUAUUUUUUCAUGAUUUUAAUAAUAUUAAUUUAUAAAGGUUUAACGUACGGUGGUUUAAAAAAUUAGUAUUAAAAAAUAAAAAAAUUUAGACAAUUUUACUAAUUGAUAUAUAUAUGGCCUUCAGGAUUUUUUUUAUAGCCAAUAUCUUCAAAUUGAUUUUUAUGAAUGACAAUUGUGCGUCUAUAUUUUUAGUACAAUAAAUUAAGGGCAACUUUUUUGUUACAUAAUUCAAAAUGCAUGUCAUAUGUGGACGUUCGUCUUUAAUGUGUAAAAAAUGUAUCAAUAUCCCUGUGCUUGUAACCAUGUCCAUGUCUAUGUAUUUAGCCUCUCGAAUCCUCUCACACCAGAGGCUUCGAGAGGCUAAAUACUUCUCAAAUGAAGUCUUUGCUAACUGAUGAUGGCUUUGAUUCCUCAAGAUAGAGACAUGGCUCAAGUUACCAAUUGAUCAAAGAAACUCUCUUAUAAUCAGCGCGAAGGAUUUUUAAUUUAUUUCGUUCUUAACAUGAAAGACUAAGAACAUGUGCUAAAACACAUGGACCACAACACAAUUACAAGUUUUUAUUCAAUCAGCAACCCUCGUAAAAGUGUUAAAAACAAAAAAGAAACAUAUGAUUUGUGAUAUAUUUUCUUAAUCGCUCACCAUGUUUCAGAAGAAAUCAACGGCUUGCAAUCUAAUGGUACAUCUGUACCAAUCUCGAAAUUGCUGCAGGAAAUCGACCUCGAUGAAUUAUCCACUUCAACCAUUUGUUGAGUAUUGAUACCGUUACGUGAUAAUAGAAUCCCCUCCAAUUCCAUUGCAACUUCUCUCAUUGUUGGCCGGUUUCUUCCAUUCAUAUUCAAACAUCUCUUUGCAAGAUUCGCUAUAACUAUGGCUUCCUCUUCAGUGCAAUCCCCCUUAACCUGAGCAUCAAUGAUAUCAAAGAGUCUACUAUCUUCCAUCAAUUCAAUGAAAUGUUCGGCUAGGCUCAUGGUUUUCAGUGAAUGGGUUAAGAAAAUUGGUUUUUUCCCACUUAAGAGCUCGACGAGAACUACUCCAAAACUAUAAACAUCACUAUUUCCUGUUAAUUGACUGGUUCGAAAAUACUCUGGAUCUAAGUAACCAAAAGUACCUUGCACCUUGGUGGUCAGAUGAGUUUGAUCAAUGGAAACUGAUCUUGUGGUUCCGAAAUCUGAAACUUUUGCUUUAUAUUUCUCAUCUAAGAGUAUGUUUGUGGACUUAAUGUCUCGGUGGUAAAUCGGGAUAGAUGCUGUCGAGUGAAGAUAGGAUAUAGCACCUGCAGCUUCCGAGGCGAUUCGCAACCGCGAUUCCCAUGAUAACGUAAAGUCCUCGUUUUGCUCAUGGAGAUAUUGGUAAAGAGUUCCAUUGGGAAUGAAUUCAUAGACUAGCAGAGGAACAUCAGUCUCCAGGCAACAUCCAUGAAGCCUAACCACAUUUCUGUGAUUGAUUUGUGAAAGAAUGACAACCUCGUUGAUGAAUUCUUCUAGUUUUUCUUCAUCUACUCUUGUAGACGUCUUAACUGCAACAAUACUCCCAUCAGCUAACAUUCCCUUGUAAACGGUGCCUUGACCGCCAUGACCAAGUAUGCUGUUCUCAUUAAAAUAAUCGGUCGCCUUUUCCAACUCAUUUGAACUGAAUAUUUUUGUCUUUUGAACACUACCAUCACUGGAGGAUAAUUGUUGCUGCAAUAAGAGACCACCAUUCCGUUUGAAAAACAACUUCUUCAACUGAAUGCACUUCCUUCUUUUGAUAAGUUUGAACAUCCACCAAGCACCAAUGAGCAACAACAGUACUCCAAGGGCCAGACCGAUAACUGUAUUCCGAGGUAAAAAAUAUCACUUAGCUCAGGCAUAUGGUUUGAGUUGAAAAUAUCACUUGGCUCAGGCAUAUUAAACAUGUACAGCGACCAUUAAAAAAUAGGCAAGAGAACAUAUUGUUUUGUCUUACACUGUAGAUCAUUGUGGACUUCUGGUAAAAAAUAAAAUUUCAUUUCAAUUUUUUUUAAAAUUCAUCCUUAAAUUGCCGAAUUGAAAGCUAAUUUAGAUUACUUUGAUAGGAAAGGGGUGAAAUUAAAGGACUGGAGAUCAAAGUAAAAAAAAUAAAAGAAAUUGAUGGUUUUAAAAAAGUUUACGUGAAUUGUUCUUUGUAGAGUCUCCAAACUUUCCUAAUUAUAAAUAAUUGGUCCUUUAAUUUUUAAAAUAUAAGAAUAAAGUCAAUUUUUGUCUCAAAACUUUAUUUUUAUUAUCUUUUGAUCCUUGGGUUGAGAAAGGAGAGAGAAAAAUAUUAGAUUCUAGUUAUAGAGAGAAAAUUAUCAUUUACAUCAAUUCAAGCUAUGAAAAAAAUGAUGAUUUUAGUAUUAUUGAAUUUCUUUUAAUAUGGAGAAUUUAUAGUAAGUGUUUUUUCUUCCCUGAGUUACUUUUAUGGUAGAUUUGAGCAUGAAAACAGUUUUGGCUUGGGGUUGAUUGUGGGUUUUCGAUAUAAUUUUUGAAUUGUUUAAGGUCAUAAAUAUGUUUUAGAAGGUGUUUGGGGUUUUUUUUUUUAAUGGAAACAUGGUUGAUUUUUUUUUUGUGAAAAAUAUCACAGCUUGAAUUUGGUCGCUAAAAUCUUGACAGGGUAGAUAACACGUCGCCAACUUUUUUUUUCUUAAAAAAAUUUUUUAUUUGUGAUUGAAAUCUUUUUAUAUUAAAAAAGAAUAUAUAAAAAAUAUUGUUUUAUUGAAAAAAAAAGUUACUUGACGUGCCGCAAGUCACAGAUCAAAUAACUAGUAUAUAUUCUUACUAACUGGUUCAGGUGCUUGUGUGUAAGAAACUGAAGGUUGGGAAACAUACAUAUCAAGUAAUGUCAUCAUAAGAAAAUGCAAAGAAAGCUAAUUACCUGCAAUAAUUGUGAUGAUACCAGGUCCUUUACAGCCUGUUUUACCAUCACCGUACUUGCCACGUGGACAUCGACAAUUGUAAUCUCCAAUGACAUUCUCGCAAGUACCUUCUUGACAAGCGUUUUUUCCUCGACCUUGCAUUCAUCUAUAUCUGUUGUAAAUGUUAAAAAUAUUAGUGGAAAAAACCUGAAUAUACAAAUUCAAAAAAAAAAAGUUAAAAACAAAUAGUGCCGAAUAAAUAGAAGCAAUAACCAGUUUACCUUGGCAUCCUUCUCGGAGAUAAGGAUUUCCUUCGAACCCUUUAUUGCAUGAGCAACGAUAUCCUUGACCAAUCGCAGGGUAGGUGCAGUUUGCAUUAGCGCCACAAGCAUAUGCACUUUGAUUAGCUUUGGCCUGUUCGCACGUCUUAUUUUCAACUACCCAUUCAAUCACAAUAUCUGCUGUAUCUGCAUAUAUUUUGGCUUGCGAGAGAGCGGCCAAUCUGAAAUCUUGAAGGAGUUCUUGUCCACUAAAAAUGCGAAUCCACAGAGAUUGAAGUCCGAAACGUUCGUGUAGUUGUAAAAAGUUGAUAACGAAUAAUCAAGUGAUUUGAGGCCCUUGGGGAUUGAGAUUUGGCAGCAUCCAGAACCUGAGCAAGGAUUUCCAUCGGACAUGUUCACAUAUUCUGUGCACAAGGAGAGACAGGCAGCUCCAUAUGUGGACUCAUAGUUGGUCAUCCAGGCAUAUGUAUCGCAACCAAUUACUGUGAAUACAUUUCGGGUGUCUGACAACGUGAAGGGGCCUGAUCCAAGGGAGAAAUACUGUGAGUAAUAGU
rnacentral:lncRNA from 1 species